UUCAUAGGGUAAGAACCAGAUCACCUAAAAAUUACGUUACACAUUACGUGGUUAACAACGAUCUCUGGGGAAUGGGACUGAAGGCGAAGAUGCUAGAAAGAGGGGGGCCACUCAAUUUUUACCAUCAACAUGUCUAUAUUAUUUUUACAAUAAAAACAUGAAUAUAAGUUUAAGAAAUGAAUAUAGAAAUCUCAUCGAAUUAUUUACAAAUGUAUGCAGGAGACAGCUAGGACUAUCUUGUUUCACGAUACUUAGGAAUGGAUUUUGAGCUAUCAAGGGCCCCCACACACUCAUUCUGCUUCUCAGGACUAAUCUGCAAUAGAAGGCUGGAUGAAUUAAGAGUUGGAUCUACAGAAAAUACUUCAAAAAAUCUUGUAUUGUGAUUAUAUUUUCUCGGUAGGACAAAACCUAACAAUGAUCAAUAUAGUAAGAGAGCUGAGACUAAACUAUGCUUCUUCUUCAUGUAAUACAUUAGUGAGAAAGACCCAGAGAGAAGCAAUUUAGCACUGACUUUGGAAGAGACAGUCAACAAAUCGAUGGAGAUAAGGGGUUGUCCUUUUAAUAAACAGAAACGCAUGAAGUCCUUAUCUAGAAAACGAAGCCUCAGAGUUAAACAUGCAAGGAGUGGUGUCCAACGCUCAGUAGGAUUUCUAUAAUUCUGGGCAACAAAUUCUUCUCUAGGCAGGAGUAUUUAGUACAUUUAAAUGUGCAUUUAGCAGCAUCUUAUCGAUUCAGCCAACUUUAACUCAUAACCACACUGAAAUGUGGAAUCUGGAUUUUUUCAUCUAAAUAAUCCAUUUGCUUUUCAUUUACAUUAUUAAGCUGCCUUUGAGUUUCUUUACAUUCUAUACUCCCACUUCUGCUAUUUGAGAUAAAUACCAUUUAAAACACUAAGUUUUUUGUUUUGUGUUUGGGUUUUGUUUGUUUGUAUCCCACUUACUAACAUUGGUAUGGAGACUCUACAAGGGAUACAGGAAAAGCAGAAAUGAAAAUAUUUGCAUUAAAAAAUAAGAUAAAAAAGCAGAAAUGAAAAUAUUUGCAUUAAAAAAUAAGAUCAAUAAGAGAUAGCAGCGACAGGGUUCACAAAAAAGCAUUGCCAACUAUACAGAGCUGUACAAAGCACUUUCACAUCAUUUUAUUUCCUUUUCUGCCACCUUUUGAGACAGAUUCUUACUCAUGUCACAGAUGACAUGAUCAGAGUCCUAACAACUUUCCAAGAUUUUAAUUUUCUGAUUUCUGUGUUCUUCUCUUAAUCAGUGCAACAGAGAUGGAAUGUUGGUGGAGAGGAGCUGCAUUAGAGCUGUCUCAUGUCACAGUGUCACUUCCACCAGAGUCACAAGGCCACCCAAAAUCAAGGGGAAAAGCACUGUCGAAGGAAGGAGUGUCAAAGAAGCUGCAUGUGUGUAACUCAGGAUCACAGCAGAAGCCAUAUGAACAGACAGCGUACUCAAAAUGGUUUAAUGAAGAGACUUUAAUAAAGAUAUUGUUU